UACGGAGGGUGCAAGCGUUAAUCGGAAUUACUGGGCGUAAAGCGCGCGUAGGCGGCCAAGUCAGUCAGAUGUGAAAGCCCUGGGCUCAACCUGGGAACUGCACCUGAUACUGCUUGGCUAGAGUACAGAAGAGGGUGGUGGAAUUUCCUGUGUAGCGGUGAAAUGCGUAGAUAUAGGAAGGAACAUCAGUGGCGAAGGCGGCCACCUGGACUGAUACUGACGCUGAGGUGCGAAAGCGUGGGGAGCAAACAGG
rnacentral:rRNA from 1 species